rnacentral:rRNA from 1 species
UUGUAAGCAGCCGCGGUAAUACAGAGGUCCCGAGCGUUGUUCGGAUUCACUGGGCGUAAAGGGUGCGUAGGUGGUGGGGUGUGUCGGAUGUGAAAUCUCGGAGCUCAACUCCGAAAUGGCAUUGGAAACUACCCUGCUAGAGGAUUGGAGGGGGGACUGGAAUGCUUGGUGUAGCAGUGAAAUGCGUAGAUAUCAAGCGGAACACCAGUGGCGAAGGCGAGUCCCUGGACAAUACCUGACACUGAGGCACGAAAGCUAGGGGAGCAAACAGGAUUAGAAACCCGGGUAGUCC